UUGCCCAUUUAAAGCUGCGGUGCUUUAAAUGGCUAACACAGGGGGGCAGAGCACCUCUCACUAAAACCUGAAGUGGAGGAUUACCACCUUGCUUCGGAUCCUGUCGUGAGACACACGC